CGGGAAGACACUAGUCAUCACUAUGGGCAACUUGUUUCCUAAAAUUUUGUUAUCUGCUGCUAGCUCUGUGGAAGCAAUUUUCAUUUCCAGAAUUUCAAGGAUAUAUAAAGCAACACAGCAGCCAGCUGCAUGGGCAAACAAAUAUGUGCUGUUAUUUCAUGGAAUGACGACUCUUCCAAAGAUAAGAAGACAGUUAAACAGGUCGUUGCAAUAAACUUCUGAAAAAUGAGAUACUUCGUGUUCCCGUGGGAUCAAAGAAGAAUCACGACAUCAAAACUCAGAAUCCCUUCACAAAUGCAACUGUGUUCCAACAAAUGUGAAACUUUUUGUUCAUAAAAUAAAUCUGUCGUGAAAAAAGAGGUGGAAGAAUGU
rnacentral:lncRNA from 1 species